CCACGGGUUGCUCCAGUGAGGAAUAUUGCACAAUGGGGGGAACCCUGAUGCAGCAACGCCGCGUGGAGGAUGACGCAUUUCGGUGUGUAAACUCCUUUUAUAUGUCAAGAAAAUGACGGUAGCAUAUGAAUAAGCACCGGCUAACUCCGUGCCAGCAGCCGCGGUAAUACGGAGGGUGCAAGCGUUACUCGGAAUCACUGGGCGUAAAGGACGCGUAGGCGGGUUGGAAAGUCAGGUGUGAAAUCCUACAGCUUAACUGUAGAACUGCACUUGAAACUUCUAAUCUAGAGUAUGGGAGGGGGAGAUGGAAUUAGUGGUGUAGGGGUAAAAUCCGUAGAUAUCACUAGGAAUACCUAAAGCGAAGGCGAUCUCCUGGAACAUUACUGACGCUAAGGCGUGAAAGCGUGGGGAGCAAGCAGGAUUAGAUACCCGCGUAGUC
rnacentral:rRNA from 1 species